AAAUAUCUCGUCUCUCUCCCUUCUCCGUUCUCAUCCGACUCCUCUUCUCCAUGCCGCCGUCGCCUCCUCCUCUUCCCCGUCCCUCACGGCCUCCUCGCCCGCUCCGCCUUCAGCACCUCUUCCUCCCCUUCCUCUCCUCCUUCCCUGCCUCCGGUUCCAGGCAUGGAGGGAUGAACCCGGAGAGCUGCAGCCGGUGGAUGCCGCGACGGACGGGGAGGCGAUGGUGAAGGGGAGUUUCGGUCAAGUGGAAUCUGAUGGGUUGCAGGGCGAGGAGCAGGGAGUAGCCUGGCGUAGAUACAGAAUAUCGGCCUCUCCCCACGACCCACCUCUCCCACCAGAGCACAACUAGUCAUCUAGGGUUUGGAUGGGUCUGGGUUCCUACAACGAUGGCAGUAGAGGCGACAAAGACCACUUUGCAACCUCGCUGAACUGUGUUACUGAACUGAAAGUUUAGGGACGGCAGUAGUUCUACCACCGAUGGUGUUGCAUGUAAGCUGGAUGUUCUCAUUGUUCUGUUGGCUCUGAUCAGUGAUGCGGGAUGUGAGGUACAACUAUCAAAGUGACAUUAAUUUUGGUUUUGCUUCCUAUCCGCAGCCUCUUCUACACUAGAAAAGGAAAACACUCGACGAUCUGGCUCUGUCUCAGGUAUAUGCUCCCUCGCCCGCAAGAUCCGCUCUCUCCCAUCUAUGCAUCACGGCAACACUUCAGCUCCUCUUAUGGAUUCUCACCAGAUCAGGCCACCUCACUCACCUUCAGGUAAACCUUGAGCGACGACACAGUAUGUUUUCGCGAACUAAUCUUCUUUAGUCAACCUAUCGAUCCUUGUUGCGUGUGCUUCUUAAUCGACAUGUGAACAAUCUGUUGAUGCAUGGAAAUACAUGCUGAUCUCCUAUUUUCUUGCUGCCUUCAAGAUAGUAUAUGCAUGAAUCUUGUUCAACUACAACAACUUGAAAGCCCUGUUAUUCUCAGAAAAAUUAUCAUCUACGGUUGUAUGCAUAUGCCUCUUGAUAUUUACCAGCUCUCCUUUAAGAUUUCCUAACUAGCAUACAUAUCCUAGCUAAAACAUAAGAGUUCGAAUUUGUACAUGUGAACUGCACAUUAAGUUACUAUCACCAUUGUUUAACAACACUGUUAAUUAUGACUCAAGUUUGUAAACAGUCAUCCAUACCAUAGGUACGUACGUUAAUGCAGAAGCACUACUAUUGAAUUAGAUGUAGUAACUGCGUCAUUCUGAACAUUUUAGCAAGUUCAUGCAUUAACCGCUUAGGGUCCAUCGAUGAAACAAAACCAAUCAUAUGAAUUGAAGGAGCUACUGAAAUAAAAUGGAAAGAACAAAGAGAAAAUUGAAGGUUAUCUAUAUGAAAAUUCAGAGAAUGGGAUAGGAGAGGUGGUUCUUCCCAAUAGGAAAAAGAGUGGAGUAUAGUACUGUUAUCCUGCCUUUUCUACUACAAUCCCAGUUAGCAUAAUAAUGUGACAUGGAAAAUCAUAUUAUCGAUUCAAUUAUGAUUCAAGCAACAUGAACAAUUAUCCAUGAAAUUCACUUCUAAACCCUGGUUUUAUUUAGUUUUAACUUCAGGAUAGGCAUUUACUGUAUUGUAAUUGCCAGACUUCCAAAAUUCUACUAUUACCAUUGUUUAACAACACCCUUUUUGUCACGGGAAAAUAAUAGAUGGAUAAACGUCUCAAAUCAUACACUAUGAAGCUUCCAACACUUGCUUACAGUGUCUUUCUUGUGUAAUCAGUCUGUCGUGAUGGACAAAGUUAAGAUCCCAACAAAAAGUGCUUCUUGAUACUAUGAUGCAGCAACUUAACCUUCCAAAUUGCAGUUUACUAAACAGAAAGUGCUUCUUGAUGCUAUGAUACAGCUUCUUGAUGCUAUGAUGCAGAAACUUUAUGCUAUGGGCAAGUGAUUCAUGCUGCUCUUGGUUCUUCUGUACACUUGAAAUAAGGAACAAUAUUCCAAAGUAUGAUAGUGUUUGGUUAAAACAUAUACCUUAGUCCAUUACUUCAGUUUCUUCUUCUGAAGUUAUGUUUUGCUUUUCUACUUCUUUGCUCUGCUUUACACAAUUUACAUGGCUUUUGAGUCCUUUUAUUUAGGAGCAGGGAAAAACCUCUAAUUGUUAACUUUGUAUUUUCGCACUGACUAGCGCAUAUCUUGCCUAAGCGCAGGCUUAAGCAAUGUGUUUUGUUCUGCCCUAGCGCCUAGGUGCUUACACCCUUUCCCCCUACUGAUUUAAGAGGUGUGGAGAUUUUUUUAAGGAGGUGUUGCUCGCUUUGUUGUUCAGAUCACAGAAGAAGUAUGUACAAGUAUACAUCACCGCUGUUACUUGCUUGCAAUUACAGUGUAUUUUAAGACACACACUUGGCGAACAUCUGCUCGUGCUUACAAUGCUCUAUGAGGGAAAUAAUAGAUCAACACUUGCUUUUUUGCUCCUUUUGAAUAGUUGUCAGGACCUCACCGGCAGAUCCCUCAGCUAUCAGGGAAAGCAGCCAUCAGCGGAGAUUGAGGGUGCCUCUCCGGCGAGAGUGCUUGUGUCGUGGUGGUUUCCCACCAGCGGCAUGGGGGAGGCGGUGUCCUCCGCAGCUAGGUCUACUUGCUGGCGACCUCACCGUCACCAGCCCAUCUGCAGGGAUGGACAUAUGGAUUGAUUGGUAGGCCCCUGAAAGCUACACAGAUCUGAACCAAUAACUUUAAUAAGAAUGUGUAUCCCAGCUCCUUUUAUAAUCUUGAAUCCUUCUCGGUCCUACUAAACUGUAACUCAUGUUUAUUUUUGGAAACAAUAUUUUGGACAUUCCUAACCUGGUCAAGGGAAUGUAUUGCCCACCUACAGUGAGAGACACAUACGAAGUAGGUCCUACUAAACACCUAAAAGGAUGAGUUACAGUAGGUGUGCAUAGAGUACUAACAUUUUUGCUAUCUUUAUGCUCCUCCAUAUGGAUGGGAACUAAAAGGAUGAUGAUAUUAUUCUACCUUUCAAUAUUUGGUGGCGCAUAUUUAAGAAAAUCACAGCUAAGCAUGUCACUUUCUAAAAAGACGCUUGACUGGAAUGUAUAUGUAUGUAGUUAAUAAAAUCAUAGUGACUGAUUGUCCAGUUCCUCUGUUUAGAUUAGAGGUGUCUGCAUGCAUCCAAGUGAUCGGUCUUUCCAGCUCAAAAGAGAAAGUGACCGAUGUUUUGGCAUAUUUUCCUAUUAGGAAUAAAUGGACAUGCCCAUGCACGUAUGCACACAGAUUUCAGGUUACAGUUUAAUUAGGAAACAGAUGAUACCUCAUUGUGUCGUCUUGGUCUAAGAAGAGGGGAUAUACUUGGUGAAUAUAUAUGUUCCACCCGACCGUUAAUUUCAGAGAAAAGGACAUGCACUUCAAUAGCAAAAAUUUGAUUGUUAUGUACUAUCUGUAAUGCUAAGCAUUUAUUUGCUAAUAUCUCCUCAUCUGAAUUUGUAUUUUGUGCCAUUUGGCCUUUUAACUAUAUGGGCAUCUGCAGAUGGUCUGAAAACCAAGAUAUGCCACAGAUAAUAACUAUACGGGCUGCUCCAGAUGGACUAAGAAUGGAACCAUAUCCUAGGCCUACAUGCUAAUAUUGUACAGCAAUGAAUAUCUUCACUUAUUUAUACUUAAUCAGUUGUGUAAUAAUAAGCGUGAUAUUAGCUUUCGUACCCAUCUUCAUGGUUAAAAUACUUUUCUGCAAUCUGUGACACAUUUGCUUCAGUUUCCAUAUGUCUUGCUUCAUGCUAUCAACAUUGUUAAUCAUUUAUCUUUAUCUUUCUUUCCUUUUACAGCCUACUUGAAUGGAUAUGGUUCCUGAGAGACCAUUUCUUAUGCAUCAGGUCCUGAAGGUGGAUGUUGCUUGUUUAGAUAUCUAUGAUUACAAAUUAUUCAAAACGGUUCAUGUUAUACUGGAUGCUAUUUUAUUGAGAGUGGCUUCGAACAAUAUGGCAUGAACAUAUUUGUUUUCUCUUUGGCCAAUAAUGAAAUGAUCUUUGUGCA